AUGCACUUCCCCGGAGCCCGCCUAGUGGACUUCCCCGCCCUUCCUUCCCGCCUUGGAACAGGCCUUUCACCUCUGCUCGCCUUCCCCGCCCAUCCCUAAACUGCGGAGACAAUCCGGGGAUGGAGCCUUCAAAAGCGCCCAAGGAAGCAAAGCCCUGGCUUUGGCUAAGUUUGUGGUGGUGCAAGCCGGGUGAAGACUAAGAAAAAUGACCGGCGAGCGGUGCCCCUGUUCAUGCCCUGGUGUCCUGAGAGGCGAGCGCUGGCAGCUGUGCAGGAUUGCAGCAGUUACCUGGUGCCAAAAAGCUGCGUACAUCAAGGAUAAAGAAGAAACUGUAAUGUGGAGACGUGAAGUGUAAAAAGCCACCAUUUACCUUCCUGGGAAAGAAAUCCACCUGGUUGAUUAAUUUAUAAGGUUCAUUUCAUCACCCUGCUGUACAGAAGAUGCCGUGGUCAUGGCAGACUCUGAUAAAUCAUCUCCAUAUUUCACCUUUGCGAUCACGUCAAGAUCCCCAGUAACUCACAGGGAGUUUUCAUUUAGUAACACUUUAGGGGGUUUCUUGCUUUUGUUUUGCUUUGGGGGGCUGGUGAGAAGGGAAGGGGGUCUCUCCCACUUGUGUAGCUCAGGUUUGUCUGGAACUGUCAUUCUCAGCCUUAGCCUCCUGAGUCCUGGAAUCCUGGGUGUGUGUCUCCAGGCCUGGCUAGCACAACUUAAGGAAGCGUUGGUGUUGGUGGGGAGUGCCACAAUGCAUUAUCAACCACUUCAGCUCACUCACGACUCACAAUAAAUGUCUGAGCAGGAAUCUAUUCUUACUUGGCAAAGUCGAAAA